rnacentral:tRNA from 2 species
GGGCCGGUGGCUCAGCUUGGUUAGAGCGUUCGGCUGAUAACCGAAAGGUCGAGAGUUCAAAUCUCUCCCGGCCCA